rnacentral:tRNA from 1 species
GGUGCGGUACCCAAGUGGUUUAAGGGGCGAGUCUGCAAAACUCGUAUUCAUGGGUUCGAAUCCCAUCCGCACCUCCA